rnacentral:rRNA from 1 species
UCGGGAAUUUUGUGCAAUGGGCGAAAGCCUGACACAGCAACGCCGCGUGAAGGAUGAAGUCCCUCGGGAUGUAAACUUCGUAAGAAUAGGAAGAAUAAAUGACGGUACUAUUUGUAAGGUCCGGCUAACUACGUGCCAGCAGCCGCAGUAAUACGUAGGGACCAAGCGUUGUUCGGAUUUACUGGGCGUAAAGGGUGCGUAGGCGGCAUAUCAAGUCACUUGUGAAAUCUCCGGGCUUAACUCGGAACUGCCAAGUGAUACUGAUGUGCUAGAGUGCAGAAAGGGCAACUGGAAUUCUUGGUGUAGCGGUGAAAUGCGUAGAUAUCAAGAGGAACACCUGAGGCGAAGGCGAGUUGCUAGGCUGACACUGACGCUGAGGUACGAAAGCUAGGGGAGCGAACGGGAUUAGAU